GCCGCCACGCCGCCCCGCAAAAAUAGCCCGCAAAAUGCCGUUGGGCUGACCGCCUCGUGCGUAACGGGCCCAAGUGGUCACGCCGCUGAGUCCAGCGGGCUUGCCGCAAUCCCGCAUAUCCCGCAUAAGUCCUAACCUAGCUUCGAACAAAAAACCUAGUGCCUACCCACGAUGGCGGCGGCGGCUGCUGCUUCGCCCACCUGACGCUUCUCCUUCGCCACCUCCUCGACGACGGCCUGCUCCUCGCUGCUGACGCCCUCCACCUCCCGGCCACCCUCGCCUUCGGCGCCACCGCCAAGUCCCCUCCCAAUUUGUGUGCACGCCCCGACAGCCUGCUGCGGAACUUCGACGUCCUCGCCGGGUUCCUUGCGUUCAUGUGAUACACGGUCAGAAGAACUCCUUGUUUAUUGAGCAAUCAUGGUGGUGUCGACAAUGCCAUCUCCACAUCGGGACUGCCCUACUGAAAUCCUCGAUGGAGAUGUUGUCCCUCCACUGCCUCCCUCACAUGCUGAAGCUGUGGUUUCUCCAUCGCUUCCCUCCUUGAUUGGAGCUGUUGUUUCGUCACCUUCCGCUUCAGCAAGGGCUCCUGCAACCUUGCCGCCCCGUUUGCACCCUGAGCCUGCGUGCCACCCCCCACCUCCAGUGCGCCGCCACCCGCCACCACGUUGUUGCGUGCCACCCCCCACCUCCAGUGCGCCGCCUCCAGUGCCCCGCCACCCACCGCCACGCUGCUGCAUGCUGCCAGGCGCGGCGGCGGCGAUCUCCGGCCAGAUCCGGCCGAGGAGGCGAGUAGGGGCCGAAUCCUGUUCUGGGGACGGUGUGGAGACGAUUUAGGAGGCACGGGAGGAGGUCCAGCGGCGGGGUUUUGAACUCCAUGUUCAUGGCGGCGGCGUUCCUCGCCGGUUCCGAGCGAGCGAGCUCCGACAGAUUAUGCGUCUUGCGGCGAUGAUUGUGUUAUCUCUGCAGCGGCAGCGGCGACACACAACUAGCGCCACGCUCCAUAUGUCAGCUUCUCUCAUCCCUCACCCUGGGAUACCCUGAUAUCUCUCUCUCUCUCUCUGUGUGUGUGUGCGCACGCGCGCGUGAGCGAUCUUAAAUUAACUGUUUGCUUGGAGUUUAGGAUCCAAGUACGCCCCUCUCCAUGGUGUUCACUGAUUUCUUAGAGCAACAACGUGUUGUUGGAGUUGCCGAAGCACUAGGUCAAAGGAAAGAUGACGAUGAAGGACACAGAGAGGAGUGUGAGCGGUGAUGGCAGCAAGGUUACCGGCAGGUAUGCAUGUAGGAACUGACUGUACAAUGUUUCUGUGUGAUGCUACUAGUUUUAACGUUUGUACUGUGAUGCCACUGGCAGUUUAAAUAAAUCUGCUAUCAUUUGGGAUGUGAGUUGUCACAACUUGUUGUGCUCUGGUGUUCGGCUCAAAAUUGCUUUUGGGAAUGAUUCCUCUGAAUAGACUACUUAUGCUUGAGAUUUUACUUUCAUUAUUUAUAUUUGUAACUCAAUUUUGGUAUCCUCUCAAAUUAACAAUACUUUUUCUGGAUAUGGUAGUUGAGAAUAGUUAUGGUAUAUAGCGGAGUUAGCCCAUCCUCACCAAUGACUCUUCCUCAUGGAUUUGCUGAACUAGAGUUAGUAAUGGGGGUAUUGUAGACUGUUUUGAAUUAUGGGGGUAUUGCAGACUUUAGAAGCUGAAUUAAAUUUUUGUGCAAUUGAAAAAGGUGUAUACAACUUGAAUUUAUUAGGCAGUAUAGGAGAGAGAUGAAAUUUUAAAGGUGUCAGUCAGAUUUGUGUGUUGUUUUGGGUAGUAUUCAGUUUUGUUUCAUCUUAGAGGCCAAUAAUGCACAUGUGAUAUUAUCUACAUUAUUCAGUUUAUAGGGCUUCCCAUAUUCCAAUGGUUGUAUUUUGCUAAACUGCCCAUCUACUUACUUGAAUUCUCACAAAUAGAAGUGCAGUCAGAAGGUAAAAAGGAUGGUAUGGUAUGUCUCCAUUCACAUGGUACUGAACUGUUAGUGAUGCUUUGUGUUAUUCUGCAGACUUGAAUUUAGUUUCUAUGGUUUUCUUUUAUUGUUCGUAGACGAGAGUAUAGUCUGAAGGGAAAAAUGGUAUGCUCUCAAGGGUGUGCAAGAACAGUGAGAUUUAUAUUACUGAACAUAUUGUUAACAAUUUGUUAUUUUGCAGACUUGCUCUCAGUUUUUAUUCUUGGCAGGUGAUUCUUCAUGAUAAUUUUUCAUAGAGGAACAUUUUUGGUGGCGUCGGGAAUGGGGAUCGGUGGUGCUGGUGUCGGUGGUGCGGUACAAGGUCGGGAUGCGGGGCGGGACGGCUAUCCGUGUGAGGCAGUUGGCGGCGAGGGUUUGUGGCAUCAAGAGGAGCGCCCGCGGCACCUCCAAAUUCAAGGUGUUGGCCGGAAACCACCGAAGAGGGAGGAGAUGAGGUUAGUAUCUCCAGAGGAAAAAAACAAGAGAAGAAGAAUAAGAACGACGCCCAUCUCGGGUUCCAGGUACGAUGGAGCCGGCGGCGAAGGGCAUGGCGCUUGCAAACAUGAUACUGUGAUAGUGGAUGACGCCGAUACCCUCAACUGCGGCAUCUGCUACCUCCCUCUCAAGCACCAGUCUUCCAAGUGCGUACGCUCGUCGUCCAUGCUAGGCCGAUCCAUCACAAGUUUGUGUACCAAUAACACUGGAAUGUCAUUUCUGCUCGGGUGCAAUGUGGCUUCGGUCA